AAACACUGGGCCGCCUGCAGCGGAGCACAUGAACUUAACCACUCGGCCACAGGGCCAGCCCCUAAGAUGUUUUUUCAUCAGGAAAAUUAGCUUAGUUAAUCCUCACAACCACUUGGACUAUUUGGUAACCAUUUUGCAGAUGAGGGAACUGAGGCUCAGCGGGGACUGUCUUCAGAGAGUCAGUAACUUUUUCAGGGUUUUGGGUCCACGGCAUGAGCUUCUUCCUCAGGUGUGGGUCUUUGCCCUCAAGAGACUUCCAAGUGACCCUGCCGUGGCGGCUCUGUGGAACACUGCUGUUUGUCCUGGCGUGAUUCUCUACUGAACUUCAAGAUGAAUAAAGAAGUAGUUUCUGUUGUUCAGUGGCAUUAAAAUGGGGAUCAUGAAACGUAGCAGUCCUAGGCAGUGUUCUGGGUCAGCAGCCUGGGUGGGUUAGCUUAGAGUGGUCCCAAGGUCUUGAGCUUUGCCCACACCCAGUGGACCUCAGCAUUUGACCUGUUGACCUCUUCUUUUUCAAACUCUUCUCCCUUAGCUUCUGGGACACACUCUCCCAUUUGUAUCUCUAUGUUCCUUCUUGGUCUCUUUUGGCUCAAGCACCUUCUCUACCCCUUUAAUGUUAAGAAAUCUUAAGAGCCUGUGGUCUUCUUCACUUCUGACUCAGCAUUUUCUCCCUGGUUGAUGUCAUUCAUUCCCAAGGUUUCGACUCCACCGAUUUCCUAAUAAUUCCAAAAUCUGUAUCUUCAGCUCAGAUUUCUUCCUUGAGCUUCCGACUCCUAUAUUCAGCUGCAUGAUGGGUACUUCCACCUGGAUGAUCUAAAUAAACUUUAGCUUAACAUUUCUAAAGCCAACUCCAUUAUUUUCCCAUCAAAUCUACUUCUUUUGUUUACUCUCCCAGUUGGUGGUUCCAUUAUCUUCCUGAUCACUCAAGCACAGAACCUGGAUUUUUCUCUUCACUCACACCUAUUUACCAUCAGUUAAGGAAAGCUGAUAUUACUUCCCUUUCCUGUUACCACUGUUUUUGUUCAGUUCCUAAUCCUUUCUAACCUCAACCAACCACAACCUCCUGUUAUCACCCCUGCCUCUCAUUUUGUCCACAUUCAAAUCUAGCCACCAAAGUAAUCUCUCUGAAGCACAAAUAUUACCAUCAUUCCCUUGCUUAAAAAUCCUUCAGUUGCUCUUGAUAGCUUUCAGAGUAACGUUUACAUUCCUUAAUGUGGUAUACACGGAAGGCCCUUCGAUCUGCCUCCUGUGUGUCUCUGCCUUAUGCUUCAUACUGCACAGCAGCAAUCUCCUCGUAGUUCCUUGUUCUCACCGUUGCUCUUUUGCAGGCAUAGCACAGUACCUGGCAUGGAAUAGGUGCUCAUUAGUUGAACGAUGGUGAAAUGUAUCUAGACCCACUGGACUAGAAGUAUCCCAGGUUCAGAGCUUCUAGAAUAGGAUACUAGAGAACCAACUUAAUUAGAGAACCUAGAAGUUCCCUUAACUGAGGGGGUGUGUGAACCUCACUGACAUUAUAAAAUUCUUUUCUGCUCUUGGCUUUUUGGUGAGGGACUUGAACUGCAGCGCUGUCCUCGGGUUCAGGAGACUUAGACUAGUCUUCGAUCUGUCACUUGGGGCAACUCCCAGCCCAUCUUUAGGCCAAGAACCAGUGGGUGAGCAAGGCAGUUAAGAGAAUGGGCUCAGGAGCCAGGCUGCCGGGUUGGAAUUCUAGCUGCUCCUCUCAGUAGUUAACCUCUCCUUGUCUCAGUUUCUCUGUCUGUACAAUGAGUGUAAUAAUAGUCCCUGUCUCACAGAACUGUUAAAUUAGAUCAGUUAACAUAGUGCCUCAUACAGAGGAAGUGGUGAACUGCCUAGAUUCCUCUGCCCCUAGGCUCCCAGAGCCCUCAUCUUGCUCCUAGAACUCCUGGACAGCCAUAAUAUCCCUUCUUGCUCCUGGCUUGUUUCCAUUCUCCCAGACCUCUAUCUUUGAGAAUCCAGGUCUGUGCUGAGGUCUGAUUGAUGAUCAUUGUGUCAUCUCUUGGGAACAUCUGCUUAACUGUCACCCUUCCUGGACAGGCAGAGUUGCCCCAAGAAGUUGUGCCCUUGGUAGUUGUAAUGUUGAGUCUCUUUCAGUUCUGUCUGUUAGAGCCUGUCUGGGCAAAAGUCUUUUGGGCCCAGCCCUUGGAAGCACUCCAGCUGAGCCCAGGCCCGGGCCACUCCCCUGAUUUAUGCUGGAUUUCCCCAUAUAAAAUGGACAGAGGUAGAUACUUCCAUCAUUCUAGACAUGCUCAUUUUUAUCUGCUUACUUUCCAAGAUGACGUAUUAAAGUUAGCGCCUAAGUGCUAAAGAGGCUGUCAAAAAUAGAAGGUGCAGAGUCAAGACACUCUGGGACAUGACCUUACCCAUGAGAUGUGCUUUACCCUAGUGCCACACUGCUGCCCUCCUUCCCUUCCUCAGUUUCUUUCCGUGUUUCUCCAAGUGGUAUUUUAAUUUUUUGCAACUCUGGUGGAAAAGAAAAUGGCAAGCCCACCGCACAGGUCCAUUUCCUCUGGUCCUAAUCCUGGGCAGAGCCACUUAUGUCCUGAAAUUAGGUAGAUUCAGAGAAGAGACAGCAAUAAGGCUCACUUAAUAAGUCACUUAGCUAUCUGUCUGCACCAAAGUUCCUCAAGGUGUGACCCAAGCAAUACCUCUUAUUAUAGUUCCCUUGGGGGUAGGAGAGUUGCUGAAAUGCAUAUUCCUGCGUCCUUCCCUUAUCCUAUAGAACCAGGGGCCUGAGAUUAAGUGUUGUGAACAAGCUUAUUGGGUGACUCUUAUGCUGACUGAAGUUGAGAAUCAUGGCCUUAGAGGUUGGGUUUCAGAUUGAGAUGGCCUGGAUUAGGGACUGCAGUCUGGCGGAGGGCUGAGCAACCUUACUGAGUGCAACUUGGGAAGGUGGUUGGGGUUCAGCCCACAACAUCCCACUUAAACAUCCAGGUUUUCAUAAGUAGCGUGUUCUCGAGACUGUGCUGGAGAUGGAGGAGGAUGUGGGGCAUCCAGCAGCCAUCCUGCCGGAAGGUAGAGAGCACAGAAGUAAUGACCCGUCUUCCUGCCCCCAGCCGCAAGUGAUGGAAUUAGUCAGGUGGGUCUGACCCAAACGUGUACCAUCCUCACCUUAGCUUCAUUCAUUCAGCAGAUAUUUUUUGAGCACCUCCUAUGUGUCAGGCGCUGUUAUUGGUGCUUGGGAUACAUUCACGAGCAAAGCAGGGAUCCCUGCCCUUGUGGAGCUUACAUGCCAGAGCUCCCCAAAGGGCCAUGCAAGAAAAGGUGGGCUCACUCUGUGGCAGGAGGCUGAAUGUUCAGAAGCUCAGGGAGGCUCUGGGCCCCGGCAGGUCUCCGAGGCUGGCUCUGGGAUCUCCUCAUACUAGUGAGUCAUGUGUGCCUGCAUGUUGAAGACAGUCUGUCCUCUUAGACCUCUGACGGAGAGGUUAAGUGACUUCAGGGACUCCAGAUGCCAAAGUGAGAAGGACAGGAAAAGGGAAAGUUGUUAGGAAGACAGUAGGAGAUAUCCCCAGAGACAUUUGGGGUUUCCUGACCAGAAUGGGAUUGAGGCAAUGGAGUAGAAGUUUUGGGCUGAUAGCCGUGGUAUAUAGUGGGGGGUAGGGGGCAUCCUAGAAGAGAAGUUCUGAAUCCAGGUCAUCAGGAACACCUAGGAGAUUUUGUAAAACAUAAAUUCUGCCCCCAUCCCCACUCCUACAGGAAGACAGAAUCAGCUCUCCAGAGGCACGUAGAGGCUGCAGGGUUCCAAAGGUGGAAAUAAAGGCAAAAAGCAGCAGUGGAAAAGACCAGGCCCAGGCCUUAGUCAACAGAGGGAAAGGGGUCUGCGUGAAGCUCUUUAAGGGCAUAUGUAACCGAUACACCCCAUGCUGGCCUUGUCCUGGAGUUUUAGCAACAGAAAAUAGAGAAAUGGAGCUAGGCUAAAGGUCAGGAAAUGUUGGUCCUAAUGUCAGUGCUGUCAUUUAGUGGCUCUGUGACCUUGGACAAAUCACUUCACCUCUCUGAGUCUCAGUUGCUUGAUCUGUAAAAUUCAGGAAUUAGACUUAUUGGUUGCUAGGGUCUCUUUCCAGCUCUGAAAGUCUGGGUCUGUGACUCUAAAGAGUGAUAUGGUUUUGCCAGCUUUAGCUGGUGCAUUAUGUUUGGAGGACCAGAGCCUGGUGCCGCCCCUUGUUUAUGGAGUAUUGGGACUCAGCUGACCUGGGGCCAGCUAAUCCAUUUGCCAGCUUCCAGGCCAGAACCACCUCUGAUCACUUGGUAGAAUUUUCCCCAAAGCGGAACACUGCUUCUGUGGGAAUAAUGUUAAUUAAGUUAGAAAAUUUAGAAAUGAGAGUUCUGUGGCCCAUUGAGUUUGAGUAUCAGUGAGUUAGACACAUUCAACAGCUUUUUUUUCCAGGACUUCUCAGAGCAUCUCUCACCCCAAUAUGCGUUUUGAAUCUCUUAAGAGGGGGGAAUACACAGUAUUUCCCAAACUAAUUUGAUUGUGGGAUCCAUUUUUCUGAGGAGCAUCUCAUCAGAUUAGUGUUUCAUAGAGCACCUCCAGAAAGAAGUUUCACCUCUCUUUCUUUAAAAACAACAACAGAAAGUUAGAUGGCCCUUACUCACUUUUUCCCAAAUUCUUGACCUUCAAAAAGGGUAGGAAUGUCCACUUUUUCUACUUGAAUCCUAGAGGCUGGCAGUCUUGUCACAGUCUUUCUAGGGCAGCCUUGUAGGCAGUGCCAGUGAUUUUGUGCUACUUGCUGUUGAAUUCCCAUUGAGUUGACACCCCUCCUGGGUCCCCAGAUCAAACCCCUACGUCUCCCUGCAGCACAUGCUCACCUUGACAGAGAGAUGGAGAAGGGCAAGUCAACAGGGGCUCCUCUGAGCCUAGAGCCUUCUCUUGGUGACCUGGUCUGGGGGUCACUGUGGCUGGACUAACAGGGAGUAGCUGUUGACUCUCUGGUUUGUGGUUGCUUGUCUAUAAGAGACAGGAAAAAAGUUGCCACAGUCCCCCAGCCUAGGCAUAUAUACUUCUCAAGGCUGGGCCAGGCUGGAAGGUGAGCUUAGGAAUGAGGAAUUCGCUAUCUUAUUUGGGCAGGAAAGGCUGAGUUGUACUCAUUUGGACUCGCACACUUUUUACACCCCAUUUCCCAUGCCCCAGUCUUGUCGUUCUGCCCUCUUUCUCCUUUGUCCUUCUUCUGGUUCUUACCAUCUCCCCCCAGUUCUUCUAAGCAGACAGACUCUCCUUCCUCCUCCCCCAUCCCAAUCUCCCAAUCUCUUCUUCACACCCCCUCUGCCCCCCAGCCUGGCAGCCAGCCCUGUAGGAAUGUUAAUUAGCAUUCACGAUUUAAUUAAUUCAGUAGCUAAUUAAUGAUUGGGGACUGGGGGGUGGGGAGCUGGGGUGCAAGGGAGAUGGGGGCUGGAGGUGGCAGGGAGAAGUAGCGGAGGCUGCAGAAGGCAUCGCAGAUGGCUGUGCGGUGGCUGGCACGGUGCCCACCGCCAUGGAUGCAAACACUCACGCGCACGCACACGUACACACACACACACACACAAAAAAAAGGAAAGGGUGAUCGAGGAAUAAAAUAAAACCAGGGAGAGAAGGGCACAGGGGCCCUGGGAACUGGGGGUGGGGAAGGCUCUAGAUCUGUUUGAACCUGCUCCGGAAGUGGAAGAAGAGAAAAAAAGAAACCACCACAGGCGCAGAGAGAAGAGAGCUCUCCCGAUACCCCCCCACCCCCCACCCCAGGCACCCCUCCUCUCUGGCAUGGGAUUCAUGGGCACCAGCUGAGGACAGGGGCCCCUCCCUCUUCCUGCCAUAAAUAUUGGCACAGAGGACUCAGUCUCAGAAGGACAGGACAUUCCCAAAGAAAAUAGUUUUCCUUUUAAGUUGCUUUUUAAAAUAUAUAUGUAUAUAUUUUUUUAAAACAUUGCACCCGUUUUGGUGUGAGGGCGAAGGCGAGUAAAAGAAGGUGACCGAGCCAGGAGGAGAGAGCACAGAUGGCUUGGUGGUGGUAUGGUGUGGACCUCCUACCCGUUCCCUCUUAGGCAUGGGAGUGGAGCGACAGACGGAGAGAGGCGUGAGGACACAAAGGAGGAUGCGCGCCAUUGCCAAGACCCCAAGGAAGAAGGAUGGAGAGUGCUGGCAGUCCUGCCUGGCCCCCAGCCAGUUUCCUGCUGAAGAUGGCCAAGUCCUCUUCCUGGUCUGUAUAUGUCACUAUGCGGGCGUGGUAUGGGAGGGAAGGGCUUGCUUGCUGAGCUGGGAUCUAGAAUGGGAAGGGCACCUUUCUGGGGAUCCCAUUCGGACUCUCCACUCUAACAAGUGAGGUGUCUGAUUUUCUCCCUGGUGCCUUCCUCUCCUCCCGCUCCCUCCACUCCACCCCUCUUUCAUCUCUCUAUCACCACCUGGGUCCUACUGCUUGGCACCCAACCAACUAGAUGCCGCCACACUUGGCAGUGCUGCACUGGCACGUGAACAGUGUCUCAGAUCCUGGUACUGCGGCAAACCCAAAGCCGCCAAACAUGCUCACGACCGCCACUUGGUGGCAGAGAGAGAGAGGGGUGGCGCCUAUAAGUGUGCCAGGCACUGGGCGGUGCUCCAUGCUGGGAGUGGCAUGGGAGGAUGCCCUCAACAGCUGGGCUGCAUCAUUGCUCUCUAGCCAACCCCAACUCUGCCUUCCUCCCAACUAGAUGCCCACCUCCCUCCCACCCUCACUGCCCCCAAGAAAGGGAUUUAGAUGGUACCACACUCAGUGUUUGAGCAGCUAGUCCAAGGGAAGCUGGAGCACAGAGGGACAAGGGCACAGGUGAGAGUCACACCCAAGUCUCCAGGCCAGUGGACUAUACACCUAUUUAGGCAGCAGGGACAGAGAAAAUCUUGGGAGGGAGAAAUGAGAGCCUGGAGAGAGGCCAGCCAGUUGUGUUGUCACAAAGAUGGUGGCAGAAGAGAUUGGGAGGGAAAAUAUAGGAAAGAGAGAUCUUCAGGUCCUGCUGUUGGGUGGUGGGAUGGUUUGUGCUUGUAUGUAUUUUGUUCUGCCCUGUGCCUUGUGAUUAACUGAGCUGUGGUUGAGACAAACCAAUUCUUUCUCCCUUGUUAAAAGGCCUAUGUUCAAUAACAAUCCUAGAAAGAUGGAGAGGUGCUCUAGGCCUAGAGAGGUGAGCAGGUGUUAGGAAGACAAAGGCACCUGGGACUUGUCCUUCCAGAAAGACUAUUCAAGGAGAUUUUGUGUUUGGAAAUUUCUCAAUGGCACCCCAAUUAGAGCUGGAUAAAUUUCCCUAUCUUUGAAAUCCACCCCCGGAAGGGAGACCAUGGAUCAGCAGGGAGCCUUGGUAGAGAGGAAGGCCCCUAGGAGGAGAGUCCUCAGCAUCUGUGGUGACCAGCCCUAUGUUUCCAGAGGCACUGCCAUUGGCAGUCCCAUAAAACUGGACCUUCAGCCUCCAUCUGGAAGGACUUCUAGCAGGUUGGGCUCUCCUUGCUUCCUAGGUAGCCAGAGGCUGUGGGUCAGUGACUAGGAAGAUCUUGGGAUAGAAGAUUUGGCUCUGGGUGAUGUCGGGGGAGGCUGGGUGGCUUUGAAUGGGGAUAGGACCUGCCUACAGGGAAGCAAAGCCAGUGCCAUGCUGAGCUGAGCUGCUUGGGGCUGGGGCAGUUCUGAUUUCAGCAUCUCUGGAAGUGGAUGGCAGCUUCAGCAGAAGCAGGGUGGUUUCCGCAGCAGAGGAAGCAGGGGGCACGCAGCCAAAGGAGCCUGAAACAAAGGAAGUCCACAGGAGGAGACUGGAGAUGGGAAGAAUCAAGGAAAAAGAAGGAGGGGGAUUAGAGGGAGAUGUUCUUUCAAGUCCAACUCCUCCCAACCUCCCACUCACCUGAAUUGAAAGGAGGCCUUUGCUCUCUACAGAAGCUAACACAGCCCCAGGGGUUACUUUCUUCAGAGAUUUAUCACGACCAGCUAUUUCCUGGUUUACUUAUCUCUCCCUUCUAGAAGGUAAGUUCCAUGAGAGCAGGAACUCUGUCUGCUUUAUUUAUCACUCCAUCAUCAGCACCGAGGAAGAUGCCUGCCACUGUCAAUACAUGUCUGUUGAAUGAAUGAACUCGGGGAAAGACCCUCAGAUUUUCCACGACCUGAAGAGGUAAUUUCCCUAAGUCAAGGUCCUCUUGCCAGAGAGGCCACAGUGAAUUUCCACUGGCUUGCAGGCACCGGCUGCUCUCAGCCGUCUUCCAGAGCCAUCUCUGGUCACAAGCAUGUGGAAUGGGUGGGAAUUUCCCUGGCCAAUUGAAAGACAGUAGCUUGUAUGUGAUUAGCCUCCUCCUCCCCAAAGAGAUAAAAAAAUAAGUAACAGUAAUAAUAUUACUGAUAGCUAUUAAGGCACAUAUACCAUGGUCCUGGCACUGUGCUAAAUGCUUGAAUCAAUUAUCUAAUCUGAUCUCACAACCACCUUAUUUUACAGAUGAGGCAGCCAAGAAACAGAGACGUUGAGUGGGCGGCUGAUUGUCACACAGCUCCAAGGUGGUAAAACUAGAAAACGACUGGCAGGGCACAGAGCUAUACCCCAAAGCUGUGGCAUGGGCUCCUCUAUCCAGCUGGACUGUCCCUCAAACACAAGUACAGGCAAAAAAAAAACACAGUACAGGGGGAAAAAGACAGUACAGGUGAAGGUCUAGGAAUCAGUAUUCCUGGGCUGCCUCCAGCUGACAGAAGCCCCAAGCCUCCUACGCUGCUUCCAACUUUUUGAUCUUGAUCCUCCCCUUCAACUCACCACUGCCCAUGCCUCCCCAUCCCCUGCCUCUCCCAAUGUCCCAAGUGGCCUUCAUCCUCUCCAGUUCUCCAUAUCAGCAGAUCUCUAAUGACUAAACCUUUUGCCCUCAGGCCAGAGUGCUUCCAGAACGGCUGAGGGGUGUGGCCUCUCCUUCCUUGGGCCACCUCUAACCCUCACCUUCAGAUUCCUGGAUUUGGAAGGGGACCUUGGUCUGGCUCCACCCAGCCUGCAGGCCCCCAUCUCUACUUCCCUCCUCCUACUGGGGGGCUAGCCAGGCGUGAAGUAAAGCCAUUAAGGAGCUCCACGUGGGGCUGGAUCAGCAUGCUAAUGAAAAUGCAAAUCAGUACCUGGUCUAGGGGUGGAGGGGAUGGGGGCACUGGGAGAACCAAAAGGGGAGUAAAGGAAUUGGAUGGAGUGGGGGGUUACCCUAGAUAAGCAGAAAGCAGAAGCCCUGAAGUUGGGAGAGAAUGGUAUUCCUCCCAUGGCGUCCUUGGGGUGGAGGAUAAGUGUGCAGGUUUGUGAGGGUCUGACAUUCAGUCACCCCCCCCACUGGGGGCCCACCGCCCUUUUACUGCCCCACCUGGUGGGAAGAGUCGAGGUUGGGCCAGAGGGGUCUUUUUGGGCCCUGUCGCUGAGGGCUGGGCGGCGCGGGGGGAAGACCUAAGCUCCAGAUCCUCUCUCCAGAGCAUCUGCUUCCCAGGACGGGAACCAGACAGCGGAUUCCUGGCUAGAAACCCAAGGGGCUUAGCUUUGGGCUAGCACAUGGGUGAGACCUAGAUCACCGAGGUGGGGUCAGCAGCCCUUUAAAAUUGCAAAUCUCUUCCCCACCUUCCAACCUACUCCUCCUCCUCUUCAGGGAAGAAUUUCAAUUGCAAAUUUAUCUCUGCCUCAGUGCAUCCCCCCAAUGCCCUGCCCCUUUCUCUGUGCUUCUCCCAUCACCCACUAUUUAUUACAAACCUUUAACUGCAGCAAAUUUUUUUCCCUCCCUCCAUUUCCCCUCUCCUCAGUCUUUCCUUUCUUCCCUCUUUGAAUCUCUGUGCCCCUUUCUUUGCCCUUCCUAGCUUGAAUUCCAUCUUUCUGGAGAUGAUGUAGAACCAGACGACAGCCUAAGCCAUCCCCCGCCUACACCCCCAGGCCAGUCUUGUUCUGACCACGGCCAUUCCUCCUUUAUUCCGGGCUGUCCUUAAGGGCAUCCCCUCUCCCUCAAGGCACAUCUUAGCUGUGAGAAAAGGAAGGUGACCCCUCAAAGGCCCUGGCAUUUCCCCCUUUGGAGGAGGGAAGGAGGAAGGGGGCGGAUUGGCUGUAGGCUGGAGGUGGGGGGACAGUUAAAAGCAAGGGCCUGGGUAGAGGCAGGGCUGGGGCCCACAAGCAGAGGGGUUAGGGGAGACAGCAGGCAGUGGCGGCGGGGUGAUUAGAGUGAAGAUUGAUGUGAAGGGGCGCCACAGACGGCAGAGAGAGUCAAUAAAACGAGAGGAUCACAUUAGAGGCGACAGAGAGAGCUUUAAAUUACAAGGCUGCUGCCACCGAGGGGGAGGGCAGGAGGCAGGCCUGGAGCCAAGGGAGGGCGGAGAGUUCCGAGGGUGUCGUCAUCCCCGGAGAUGAAUCUUCCAGUUCCAAAAUGGCCCUCAGUCUCCAGAGCUCCCUUGCUGCCCCUUCACUCCCUCCUCCCUGCGUAAUGCUUCCUUCCCUGACAAGGGUGAGGAGAGGAGAAAGGGGAAGAUGGAGAGAAAGCAAUGGAAAAACAGGGGUGUUUUUUUGGUAUUGCCCUUUUCCUCCUUCCAGAUCGGCUCUCUGGUUAUCCUCAGGAUGGGAGGGGAAGGACGGAAGUGCUACUUUCAAAGCUCAGCUAGGGAGCUGUUCCCCAACAAGCAAACAUAAUCACUGAGCUGUAAAUGUUCUUCCAUGGGUGGUGAGAAGAAAGGCACCCCGUAAACAGCUGGACAGGAACUCUGACUUCUCAAUAUGUGCUCCCUGUUCCGGGGGUAGAUGCACAGUAUUUAGGACAGGAAGAACUACGGAACCAGGAGGCUCCCAGACAGACAGUAGGACCCAGAAAGCUACGGAGAAAGAUGUUAUGAGACAGACGGAGAGGCUUGGACUUGAAGUUGUGGAAAGCUGCAAGGCGGGCUCUGUGACCACAGAGACAGGGAGGGCACAGGGAGACUGAAGAAGCAGAGAAUUACAGGAGUCAAGGGGCAGGGCAAGGAAAGAUCAAAGAAACAGGCCUGAGGAAGGAGAGACUGUCCCAUGCCUUGGAGGAGCCAGGGCGUGGGUUGGGUUACCGGGCAGGACUGGAGGCAAGACCCGGCAGGGAUGCUGCCUCGGAAGCCCCCAGCAGGCCAGGAGUCCCCUUGGGUAGAGCCCCCUCCCACGUCUGGCGACCAGGAGAGAAGCAACACCACUGCUCCCUAGUGCUUACAGAGGGAACAUCGCCAAGGAGGGGACAGGCCUGACCGGACACAGAUUGGCUUUCUCCUCCCGGCUCUGCUCCUUAAAACAAAAAACAGAAACCCCUCUGUCUUCUUUUCUCCAAACCCAACGACACAGCAAGGCUCCUUUCCCGGCUGAGUCUGCCAGAGGGCACCAACACGUCUCCUUAAAGUUUGCAUACAAUGAUUUCCAGAUCAGAGCCUUCCAUACGUUUUUGCCUUUUACUUUUCCAAUUGUUCCGUCUAUCCUCUCCCUCACUGAGAGCUGAUUUUCUGAACCUUUCCUUUUCUCUUCCCUCUCUAAAGUUCUUGCCCACGGCACUGCUCUCUGCCACACUCAUUUUGCCCUCAUCUUUCUCCCCUUUCCGUCUCUACCCGUUGCUUUCAAGAGGAGGCAGCCAUGGAGAGGAGGGGAGAGACACAGGAAGGAUGGAGUGUGUGUGCCCUUUGUAAGGGGGGUUGUUUGGUAUAAACAGCCAAUAAACUCUAACUAGAUGAGGUUUAUUCUUUACGGCAGUGGAAGAACAUGGGCUUUGGAUUCAUGCAGACCCAGCUGCAGUCCUGGCUCCCCGCUCACCAGCUGUGCCACCUUGGGCUUUCUUGAGGUGUGCUGCCGGGUGACUGCUGCUGGAGGGGCAGGUGACCCCAAGGGGAAAGGAGCCUCUUGCCCGUGUAUCUCCCUCAGUGAGGCCACAAGUGUCAGGAUGGCAGUGUGGAGCUGUGUGGUCUCAUAGUGCACAGAGAGACUCAGGCUUAGACAACCACACGAGGCCAGCUCUGAACCCUGCUGUGAGAACUUGAAGGGACAGGGAGUUGUGCCCUUGACUUCAGAUUCAGGCUCCUGUCUGAUCCUGGCAUGCGAGGGGGACCUCUGGAGAAGACCUUUGAUCUCCCUGAACUCGAAAGGAAUAACAUGCAAUUCUUCUAGAAUUAUUUGGAAGGACACCACUGUAAGGGACUGUGUAUAUAAAUAAUCCUUCUGGUUCUUUGAUUCACCAUGAACCCUUGUGAUAGUAGUGACUCCAUUUAGAUACCAAUACAGCAACAACUAAUAAUAAUAAAAAUAACAUCUUUGAAUGUU